UACGUAGGGUGCGAGCGUUGUCCGGAAUUAUUGGGCGUAAAGGGCUCGUAGGCGGUUUGUCGCGUCGGGAGUGAAACCUUGGGCUUAACUCAGGGCUUGCUUUCGAUACGGGCAGACUAGAGGUAUGCAGGGGAGAACGGAAUUCCUGGUGUAGCGGUGAAAUGCGCAGAUAUCAGGAGGAACACCGGUGGCGAAGGCGGCAUCCUGGACCAACACUGACACUGAUGAGCGAAGCCAGGGAGCAAACGGG
rnacentral:rRNA from 1 species